GACGAACGCUGGCGGCGUGCCUAACACAUGCAAGUCGAACGGAAAGGCCCUGCUCUUGUGGGGUUCUCGAUUGGCGCACGGGUGUGUAACACGCGAGUAACCUCCCCUUGUCUUUGGGGUAACUUCACGAAACUGCGGCUAUUACCGCAUAGGAGCUACUGCUCCGUGGUGGGGGUUGGUAAAUUUCGGCGGUGGGGGAUGGAAUCGCGGCUUACGAGCUUGUUGGUGGGGUAGUGGCUUACCAAGGCUUCGACGGGUAGCCGGCCUGAGAGGUGGGCCGGCCACAAGGGGACUGCGGUAGGGCCCAGAAUCGUACGGGAGGCAACAGUGGGGAAUAUGGCACAAUGGGCGGAAGCCUGAUGCAGCAACGUCGCGUGCGGGAUGCCGGCCUUCGGGUUGUAAACAGCUUUCGCCUGAGACGAAGCGUGAGUGACGGUAAUGGGUAAAGAAGCACCGGCUAACUACGUG
rnacentral:rRNA from 1 species